rnacentral:sRNA from 1 species
UGUAAGGUUUCGUGAUGUUGAGGGUUU